CCUACGGGCGGCUGCAGUGAGGAAUAUUGGUCAAUGGGCGCAAGCCUGAACCAGCCAUCCCGCGUGCAGGAAGACGGCGCUAUGCGUUGUAAACUGCUUUUCCAGGGAGAGAAACUUGCGCACGUGUUGCGCAAUUGACGGUACCCUGGGAAUAAGCAUCGGCUAACUCCGUGCCAGCAGCCGCGGUAAUACGGAGGAUGCGAGCGUUAUCCGGAUUCAUUGGGUUUAAAGGGUGCGUAGGCGGACUAUUAAGUCAGUGGUGAAAUCCUGCAGCUUAACUGCAGAACUGCCAUUGAUACUGAUAGCCUUGAGUUUGGUUAAGGUAGGCGGAAUGUGUAAUGUAGCGGUGAAAUGCUUAGAUAUUACACAGAACACCAAUUGCGUAGGCAGCUUACUGAGCCGACACUGACGCUGAGGCACGAAAGCGUGGGGAUCGAACAGGAUUAGAUACCCCGGUAGUC
rnacentral:rRNA from 1 species